GUUUUAAUAGUUUAAAAAUAAAACAAUGAUCUUGUAAAUCAUAAAUAGAAUAUUCAACUUUAAAACA
rnacentral:tRNA from 1 species